AUACGUAGGGGGCGAGCGUUGUCCCGAAUGAUUGGGCGUAAAGGGCGCGUAGGCGGCCUGUUAAGUCUGGAGUGAAAGUCCUGUUUUCAAGAUGGGAAUUGCUUUGGAUACUGAUGGGCUUGAGUGCAGGAGAGGUUAUCGGAAUUCCCGGUGUAGCGGUGAAAUGCGUAGAGAUCGGGAGGAACACCAGUGGCGAAGGCGACUUACUGGGCCGUAACUGACGCUGAGGCGCGAAAGCGUGGGGAGCGAACAGGAUUAGAUACCCUGGUAGUCCACGCGGUAAACGAUGAAUGCUAGGUGUUGCGGGUAUCGACCCCUGCAGUGCCGGAGUAAACACAAUAAGCAUUCCGCCUGGGGAGUACGGCCGCAAGGUUGAAACUCAAAGGAAUUGACGGGG
rnacentral:rRNA from 1 species